UACGUAGGGUGCAAGCGUUAAUCGGAAUUACUGGGCGUAAAGCGUGCGCAGGCGGUGAUGUAAGACAGAUGUGAAAUCCCGGGCUCCAACCUGGGAACUGCAUUUGUGACUGCAUCGCUGGAGUGCGGCAGAGGGGAUGGAAUUCCGGCGUGUAGCAGUGAAAUGCGUAGAUAUGCGGAGGAACACCGAUGGCGAAGGCAAUCCCCUGGGCCGCACA
rnacentral:rRNA from 1 species